rnacentral:rRNA from 1 species
UACGAAGGGGGCUAGCGUUGCUCGGAAUUACUGGGCGUAAAGCGCACGUAGGCGGCUUUUUAAGUCGGGGGUGAAAUCCUGGAGCUCAACUCCAGAACUGCCUUCGAUACUGGAAAGCUCGAGUCCGGGAGAGGUGAGUGGAACUGCGAGUGUAGAGGUGAAAUUCGUAGAUAUUCGCAAGAACACCAGUGGCGAAGGCGGCUCACUGGCCCGGUACUGACGCUGAGGCGCGAAAGCUAGGGGAGCAAACAGG